rnacentral:rRNA from 1 species
AACAAGGUUUCCGUAGGUGAACCUGCGGAAGGAUCAUUAAAUGAUAGUACUGGCCCUAAGGUGUGGUAAUACAUGCCGGUGGGCUUCACGUCUAUUACCCUUGUUUUUCGAGUACCUAUGUUUCCUUGGUGGGCUUGCCCACCAAUUGGACACCCUAUUAAACCUUUUUAAUUUUUAAUCAGCGUCUGAAUAAACUUAAUAAUUACAACUUUCAACAACGGAUCUCUUGGUUCUGGCAUCGAUGAAGAACGCAGCGAAAUGCGAUAAGUAGUGUGAAUUGCAGAAUUCAGUGAAUCAUCGAAUCUUUGAACGCACAUUGCGCCCCUUGGUAUUCCAUGGGGCAUGCCUGUUCGAGCGUCAUUUGUACCCUCAAGCUAUGCUUGGUGUUGGGUGUUUGUCCUCUCCAUUGCGUUUGGACUCGCCUUAAAGCAAUUGGCAGCCAGUGUUUUGGUUUUAAGCGCAGCACAUUUUGCGUCUUACUCCCUUGAAUACUAGCAUCCAUUAAGCCUUUUUAUCACUUUUGACCUCGGAUCAGGUAGGGAUACCCGCUGAACUUAAGCAUA